GAUUAUAAAGCUAAUGCAAUUCAUUGUUACUGAAUAUUUUUUUUUUUUUUUUA
rnacentral:tRNA from 1 species